rnacentral:rRNA from 1 species
AUUUUAGUGAAUGGAUAUAGUAGUGUAAGCUAGCUGUUUUACGACAGAGGGUUCAAAAACUACUAUAGGUAGGCAGUGGUUGCCGACCUCUCAUAUUGUUCAAAACGUAUGUGUUCAUAUGAUUUUGGCAAUUAUAUGAGUAAAUUAAAUCAUAUACAUAUGAAAAUAAAUAUUUAUUAUAUGUAUAUGGAAAAAUGUUGAAAUAUUCCCAUAUUCUGGGAUAUUCAUAAUAUUAAAAAAUAAAUGAAAAACAUUAUCUCACAUUUGAAUGUGAAAAACGAAGAGAAAUAUUUUCUUUUUCAAUCAAAUAAUACUGAGAAAUGUCUAGCAUAAAAAAUUGAAAUAUUUUUCAUCUAGAAUUGUCUCUUAUUAAUGAUUCGGAAAUAGAAAAAUCUUGGUUAUGUUAUUAUUCUUCGUUGGUUCGUUAAAAAUGGAUAAAUAAAAACUUUGCAUACAAGAAUUAAUAAAAAUGUUAUAACGAAUUUAAUUAAAUGUUUUAUCAUUAUAUAUAAAGAAUUUAUGGCAAGAUAAAGUUAUAUACAACCUCAACUCAUAUGGGACUACCCCUGAAUUUAAGCAUAUUAAUUAGGGGAGGAAAAGAAACUAACAAGGAUUUUCUUAGUAGCGGCGAGCGAAAAGAAAAGUUCAGCACUAAGUCACUUUGUCUAUAUGGCAAAUGUGAGAUGCAGUGUAUGGAGCGUCAAUAUUCUAGUAUGAGAAAUUAACGAUUUAAGUCCUUCUUAAAUGAGGCCAUUUACCCAUAGAGGGUGCCAGGCCCGUAUAACGUUAAUGAUUACUAGAUGAUGUUUCCAAAGAGUCGUGUUGCUUGAUAGUGCAGCACUAAGUGGGUGGUAAACUCCAUCUAAAACUAAAUAUAACCAUGAGACCGAUAGUAAACAAGUACCGUGAGGGAAAGUUGAAAAGAACUCUGAAUAGAGAGUUAAACAGUACGUGAAACUGCUUAGAGGUUAAGCCCGAUGAACCUGAAUAUCCGUUAUGGAAAAUUCAUCAUUAAAAUUGUAAUAUUUAAAUAAUAUUAUGAGAAUAGUGUGCAUUUUUUCCAUAUAAGGACAUUGUAAUCUAUUAGCAUAUACCAAAUUUAUCAUAAAAUAUAACUUAUAGUUUAUUCCAAUUAAAUUGCUUGCAUUUUAACACAGAAUAAAUGUUAUUAAUUUGAUAAAGUGCUGAUAGAUUUAUAUGAUUACAGUGCGUUAAUUUUUCGGAAUUAUAUAAUGGCAUAAUUAUCAUUGAUUUUUGUGUUAUUAUAUGCACUUGUAUGAUUAACAAUGCGAAAGAUUCAGGAUACCUUCGGGACCCGUCUUGAAACACGGACCAAGGAGUCUAACAUAUGUGCAAGUUAUUGGGAUAUAAACCUAAUAGCGUAAUUAAUUGACUAAUAAUGGGAUUAGUUUUUUAGCUAUUUAUAGCUAAUUAACACAAUCCCGGGCGUUCUAUAUAGUUAUGUAUAAUGUAUAUUUAUAUUAUUUAUGCCUCUAACUGGAACGUACCUUGAGCAUAUAUGCUGUGACCCGAAAGAUGGUGAACUAUACUUGAUCAGGUUGAAGUCAGGGGAAACCCUGAUGGAAGACCGAAACAGUUCUGACGUGCAAAUCGAUUGUCAGAAUUGAGUAUAGGGGCGAAAGACCAAUCGAACCAUCUAGUAGCUGGUUCCUUCCGAAGUUUCCCUCAGGAUAGCUGGUGCAUUUUAAUAUUAUAUAAAAUAAUCUUAUCUGGUAAAGCGAAUGAUUAGAGGCCUUAGGGUCGAAACGAUCUUAACCUAUUCUCAAAACUUUAAAUGGGUAAGAACCUUAACUUUCUUGAUAAUGAAGUUCAAGGUUAUGAUAUAAUGUGCCAGUGGGCCACUUUUGGUAAGCAGAACUGGCGCUGUGGGAUGAACCAAACGUAAUGUUACGGUGCCCAAAUUAACAACUCAUGCAGAUACCAUGAAAGGCGUUGGUUGCUUAAAACAGCAGGACGGUGAUCAUGGAAGUCGAAAUCCGCUAAGGAGUGUGUAACAACUCACCUGCCGAAGCAACUAGCCUUAAAAUGGAUGGCGCUUAAGUUGUAUACCUAUACAUUACCGCUAAAGUAGAUGAUUUAUAUUACUUGUGAUAUAAAUUUGAAACUUUAGUGAGUAGGAAGGUACAAUGGUAUGCGUAGAAGUGUUUGGCGUAAGCCUGCAUGGAGCUGCCAUUGGUACAGAUCUUUGGUGUAGUAGCAAAUAAUCGAAUGAGACCUUGGAGGACUGAAGUGGAGAAGGGUUUCGUGUGAACAGUGGUUGAUCACGAGUUAGUCGGUCCUAAGUUCAAGGCGAAAGCCGAAAAUUUUCAAGUAAAAACAAAAAUGCCUAACUAUAUAAACAAAGCGAAUUAUAAUACACUUGAAUAAUUUUGAACGAAAGGGAAUACGGUUCCAAUUCCGUAACCUGUUGAGUAUCCGUUUGUUAUUAAAUAUGGGCCUCGUGCUCAUCCUGGCAACAGGAACGACCAUAAAGAAGCCGUCGAGAGAUAUCGGAAGAGUUUUCUUUUCUGUUUUAUAGCCGUACUACCAUGGAAGUCUUUCGCAGAGAGAUAUGGUAGAUGGGGCUAGAAGAGCAUGACAUAUACUGUUGUGUCGAUAUUUUCUCCUCGGACCUUGAAAAUUUAUGGUGGGGACACGCAAACUUCUCACAGGCCGUACCAAUAUCCGCAGCUGGUCUCCAAGGUGAAGAGUCUCUAGUCGAUAGAAUAAUGUAGGUAAGGGAAGUCGGCAAAUUAGAUCCGUAACUUCGGGAUAAGGAUUGGCUCUGAAGAUUGAGAUAGUCGGGCUUGAUUGGGAAACAAUAACAUGGUUUAUGUGCUCGUUCUGGGUAAAUAGAGUUUCUAGCAUUUAUGUUAGUUACUUGUUCCCCGGAUAGUUUAGUUACGUAGCCAAUUGUGGAACUUUCUUGCCUAAAAUUUUUAAGAAUACUAUUUGGGUUAAACCAAUUAGUUCUUAUUAAUUAUAACGAUUAUCAAUUAACAAUCAAUUCAGAACUGGCACGGACUUGGGGAAUCCGACUGUCUAAUUAAAACAAAGCAUUGUGAUGGCCCUAGCGGGUGUUGACACAAUGUGAUUUCUGCCCAGUGCUCUGAAUGUCAAAGUGAAGAAAUUCAAGUAAGCGCGGGUCAACGGCGGGAGUAACUAUGACUCUCUUAAGGUAGCCAAAUGCCUCGUCAUCUAAUUAGUGACGCGCAUGAAUGGAUUAACGAGAUUCCUACUGUCCCUAUCUACUAUCUAGCGAAACCACAGCCAAGGGAACGGGCAUUAAUGCUCCGGUGUGGAGAACUGGAGACGCGGCUCGCUAUGCCACCACCGCCGCCGCCGCCGUCCAAGGCGAACACUACUGCCGCCAAUGCUCCCCAGAUGCCUCAGGUUGCACCCAUCGCUGCCCCGCGGACAACCAAGGUUCGUGAGACGUGGUCAGCGGUGGUGAAGUGCGACGACCCUGCGCUAUCGGGGAAAGCCAUAGCCGAAAAAGGUGCGGACGAUGGUUGCACCCUCCCUCGGAGUCAGAGUACACGAGGUACGUGAGCUCCGUCGAGGUGGUGGUGCGAUCAUUCGUACUCCUUCGGUUGGAGAGCUGGCAGAAGGUGAUGGCAUCGAAAAGAUUCGCAGAACUUGGACUGAAUGUGGCACGGAACGCGGCCGAGAAGCCGAAGGUCAUAGUCUAUGACGUCGACACAGCCAUCGGCCCAGAAGAGUUCAUGCAGGAGCUUCACGAGAACAACUUCGACAGUGAAAUGACUCUGGCCCAGUUCAAAAAGUCGGUGCACCUGGUGACCAAGGCGUGGUCGGCUACUGACGGUGCCACCGUAAACGUGACGCUAGAGGUAGACGACCGGGCGAUGGCGAAACUUGAUGUAGGACGUGUCUACAUUAAGUGGUUUUCGUUCCGAUGCCGAUCGCAAGUCCGCACCUAUGCCUGCCACAGAUGUGUGGGUUUCGACCACAAGGUUAGUGAAUGCAGGCAGAAGGAGAGUGUUUGCCGCCAGUGCGGGCAACAAGGCCACACCGCGGCAAAGUGCCAAAACCCGGUGGACUGCCGGAACUGCCGUCACAGAGGGCAACCUUCGGGGCAUUAUAUGCUCUCGAAUGCUUGCCCGAUAUACGGAGCGUUGUUAGCGAGGGUGCAAGCUAGACACUAAUGUUUAGCUUCAUCCAAGCGA